GAUGAACGCUGGCGGCGUGCCUAAUACAUGCAAGUAGAACGCUGAAGGAGGAGCUUGCUUCUCUGGAUGAGUUGCGAACGGGUGAGUAACGCGUAGGUAACCUGCCUGGUAGCGGGGGACAACUAUCGGAAACGAUAGCUAAUACCGCAUAAUAGUAGAUGUUGCAUGACAUUUGCUUAAAAGGUGCAAUUGCAUCACUACCAGAUGGACCUGCGUUGUAUUAGCUAGUUGGUAGGGUAACGGCUCACCAAGGCGACGAUACAUAGCCGACCUGAGAGGGUGAUCGGCCACACUGGGACUGAGACACGGCCCAGACUCCUACGGGAGGCAGCAGUAGGGAAUCUUCGGCAAUGGACGGAAGUCUGACCGAGCAACGCCGCGUGAGUGAAGAAGGUUUUCGGAUCGUAGAGCUCUGUUGUAAGAGAAGAACGAGUGUGAGAGUGGAAAGUUCACACUGUGACGGUAUCUUACCAGAAAGGGACGGCUAACUACGUGC
rnacentral:rRNA from 1 species